rnacentral:rRNA from 1 species
AGAGUUUGAUCCUGGCUUAGGAUGAACGCUGGCGGCGUGCCUAACACAUGCAAGUCGAGCGAUCUCUUCGGAGAAGAGCGGCGGACGGGUGAGUAACGCGUGGGUAACCUGCCUCAUACACAUGGAUAACAUACCGAAAGGUAUGCUAAUACAGGAUAAUAUAAGAGAUUCACAUGGAUUUCUUAUCAAAGCUCCGGCGGUAUGAGAUGGACCCGCGUCUGAUUAGCUAGUUGGUAAGGUAACGGCUUACCAAGGCGACGAUCAGUAGCCGACCUGAGAGGGUGAUCGGCCACAUUGGAACUGAGACACGGUCCAAACUCCUACGGGAGGCAGCAGUGGGGAAUAUUGCACAAUGGGCGAAAGCCUGAUGCCAGCAACGCCGCGUGAGUGAUGAAGGCCUUCGGGUCGUAAAACUCUGUCCUCAAGGAAGAUAAUGACGGUACUUGAGGAGGAAGCCCCGGCUAACUACGUGCCAGCAGCCGC